rnacentral:rRNA from 1 species
UGAGGAAUAUUGCGCAAUGGCCGAAAGGCUGACGCAGCGACGCCGCGUGAAGGAUGAAGUCCGUUAGGAUGUAAACUUCUUUUGUAGGGGAUGAAUGUCUCGAAUUCAUUCGGGAUUGACCGUACCCUGCGAAUAAGGAUCGGCCAACUACGUGCCAGCAGCCGCGGUAAUACGUAGGAUCCGAGCGUUGUCCGGAAUUACUGGGUGUAAAGGGCGUGUAGGUGGACCUCUAAGUCGAUGGUGAAAUCCUGUAGCUUAACUGCAGAAUUGCCUUCGAUACUGGGGGUCUUGAGUACGGCAGAGGGAGAUGGAAUUCAUGGUGUAGCGGUGAAAUGUGUAGAUAUCAUGAAGAACACCGGUUGCGAAGGCGGUCUCCUGGUCCGUUACUGACACUGAGGCGCGAAAGCGUGGGGAGCAAACAGGAUUAGAUACCCUGGUAGUCCACGCCUUAAACGAUGGGUACUCGGUGCUGGGCCGCGAGGUUCAGUGCCAAAGCUAACGCAUUAAGUACCCCACCUGGGGAGUACGAUCGCAAGGUUG